GCAUACGACGGAUGCCUUGGCAGCUGAAGGCGAUGAAGGACGCGAAAGCCUGCGAUAAGCUUCGGGGAGCUGGCAAUUAAGCUUCGAUCCGGAGAUUUCCGAAUGGGGAAACCCACUUGAGAUAACUCAAGUAUCUUUAUCUGAAUUCAUAGGAUAAAUGAAGCGAACGCGGGGAACUGAAACAUCUAAGUACCUGUAGGAAAAGAAAUCAACCGAGAUUCUGUUAGUAGCGGCGAGCGAAAGCGGAACAGCCCUUAAGCUUUGAUGAAGAAAGAAGAAAGAGUUGGGAAGCUCUACCAUAGAAGGUGAUAGUCCUGUAUUUGAAUUCUUCUUCAAAGUGAAAUCGAGUAGGUCGGGACACGUGAAAUCUUGACUGAACAUGGGGGGACCAUCCUCCAAGGCUAAAUACUCUCAGCUGACCGAUAGUGAACCAGUACCGUGAGGGAAAGGCGAAAAGAACCCCGGCGAGGGGAGUGAAAUAGAACCUGAAAUCUUGUGCUUACAAGCAGUCGGAGCAGACUUGUUCUGUGACGGCGUACCUUUUGUAUAAUGGGUCAACGACUUAAUUUCAGUAGCAAGCUUAACCAAUUAGGGUAGGCGUAGGGAAACCGAGUCUUAAUAGGGCGUUCAGUUGCUGGAAUUAGACCCGAAACCGGGUGAUCUAUCCAUGGCCAGUGUGAAGGUCGAGUAACAUCGACUGGAGGCGCGAACCCACUUAUGUUGAAAAAUGAGGGGAUGAGCUGUGGAUAGGAGUGAAAGGCUAAUCAAACCCGGAGAUAGCUGGUUCUCUUCGAAAACUAUUUAGGUAGUGCCUCAUGUAUUACCAUUGGGGGUAGAGCACUGUUUCGGCUAGGGGGUCAUCCCGACUUACCAAACCGAUGCAAACUCCGAAUACCUAUGAGUAUGAGCACGGGAGACAGACUGCGGGUGCUAACGUCCGUAGUCGAGAGGGAAACAACCCAGACUGUCAGCUAAGGUCCCUAAUUAUGAUUAAGUGGGAAACAAUGUGGGAAGGCACAAACAGCUAGGAGGUUGGCUUAGAAGCAGCCACCCUUUAAAGAAAGCGUAAUAGCUCACUAGUCGAGUCGGCCUGCGUGGAAGAUAUAACGGGGCUAAAUCAUAAACCGAAGCUACAGAUCUUGUUUCAAGAUGGUAGGAGAGCGUUCUGUAAGCCACUGAAGGUAAGCUGAGAGGCGAACUGGAGGUAUCAGAAGUGCGAAUGUUGACAUGAGUAACGAUCAAAGAGGUGAAAAACCUCUUCGCCGAAAAACCAAGGGUUCCUGUCCAACGCUAAUCGAGGCAGGGUGAGUCGGCCCCUAAGGCGAGGGCGAAAGCCGUAGUCGAUGGGAAACAGGUUAAUAUUCCUGUACUUUUUACAACUGCGAUGGGGUGACGGAGAAGGUUAGGCUAGCACGGCGACGGUUGUCCGUGUUUAAGGUUGUAGGCUGGUGUUUUAGGUAAAUCCGGAACACUAAGGCCGAGAACUGAUGACGACCACUCAUGUAGUGGGAAGUAGUUGAUACCAUGCUUCCAGGAAAAACCUCUAAGCUUAAAUUACAAGGAACCGUACCCGAAACCGACACAGGUGGUUAGGUAGAGAAUACCAAGGUGUUUGAGAGAACUUGGGUGAAGGAACUAGGCAAAAUAACACCGUAACUUCGGGAGAAGGUGUGCCGUGUUGUGUGAUGAGAUUUACUCUCUAAGCAUGGCAUGGUCGAAGAUACCAGGUGGCUGCGACUGUUUAUUAAAAACAUAGCACUCUGCAAACUCGUAAGAGGACGUAUAGGGUGUGACGCCUGCCCGGUGCCGGAAGGUUAAUUGAUGGGGUUAGCUUCGGCGAAGCUCUUGAUCGAAGCCCCGGUAAACGGCGGCCGUAACUAUAACGGUCCUAAGGUAGCGAAAUUCCUUGUCGGG
rnacentral:rRNA from 1 species